AGUGAACGCUGGCGGUAGGCCUAACACAUGCAAGUCGAACGGCAGCACAGUAAGAUCUUGCUCUUACGGGUGGCGAGUGGCGGACGGGUGAGGAAUACAUCGGAAUCUACUUUUUCGUGGGGGAUAACGUAGGGAAACUUACUCUAAUACCGCAUACGACCUACGGGUGAAAGCAUGGGAUCUUCUGACCUUGCGCGAUUGAAUGAGCCGAUGUCGGAUUAGCUAGUUGGCGGGGUAAAGGCCAACCAAGGCGACGAUCCGUAGCUGGUCUGAGAGGAUGGUCGGCCACACUGGAGCUGGGACACGGUCCAGAGUCCUACGGGAGGCAGCAGUGGGGAAUAUUGGACAAUGGGCGCAAGCCUGACCCAGCCAGACCGCGUGGGUGAAGAAGGCCUUCGGGUUGUAAAGCCCUUUUGUUGGGAAAGAAAAGCAGCCGGUUAAUACGCCGCUGUUCUGACGGUACCCAAUGAAUAAGCACCGGCUAACUACGUG
rnacentral:rRNA from 1 species